UGGUGACAUGCAGUUUGAGCUACUGCCU
rnacentral:piRNA from 1 species